AACAAUGUCAUAAACAAAAUAUAUUCAGAGAUUUUACGACGGUAAAACAGCCGCAAUCCAGCAGGAAACAUUGCUGGAAGAAGAGUAUUUUCCAGAACGAGGACAUUUUUUGCGACGUAAAGGAGGAGUGGGGCGCCAUCGAAGGAUUGGAGCAGCACUGAACAAAUUUCACACUCAAGAAGACCCAGCCAGCCACCUGUUCACCUGAGGGAGAAAGCCCUGUCUUCAGCCUGUCUUCCACCUGUCUUCAGCCCUGUCAAAUAACCAUUCCAUGUGGCAGCAGCAUGUUGGUGGACAAGUUUCAGGCGCCAUGGGAAAAAAUGAGGCCCUCUCUUGUAAGAGACAUUGUUGCUGGAUGUUGGAGACGUACCAGGAGGAAGUGGCUCUUCGGGCAGUGGUCAAUGAGAAGCAAGUGCCUCCAGGAAUCACACGUCAUUAUACUCAACCAUUAGGUUUUUAUGUGAUACAGACCUUGGAUAGAUAUACUGAGGAUUUUGUUUGCCGUUAAUUUUGCUUUCUAAUUUAGCUACCUUGAAAAGCAUAGUGGUUACUUAAUGUCAUUCACAGGUUUUGUAGUAUAAAGUCAGAAGAGUAAAAAAAAAAACUUACUUUGGGCUUGCAUGCUGUAAACUGGCAUAUAAAUUGAUUUAUUAAGA